rnacentral:rRNA from 1 species
CGCCCAGACUCCUACGGGAGGCAGCAGUGAGGAAUAUUGGUCAAUGGGCUUACGCCUGAACCAGCCAAGUCGCGUGAGGGAAGACUGCCCUAUGGGUUGUAAACCUCCUUUGUCAGGGAGCAAUUGGCGCUACGUGUAGCGUUAUCGAGAGUACCUGAAGAAAAAGCAUCGGCUAACUCCGUGCCAGCAGCCGCGGUAAUACGGAGGAUGCGAGCGUUAUCCGGAUUUAUUGGGUUUAAAGGGUGCGUAGGCGGAAUGCCAAGUCAGCGGUAAAAUCGCGGGGCCCAACCUCGCUCCGCCGUUGAAACUGGCUGUCUUGAGAUGUCGAGAGGUAUGCGGAAUGCGUGGUGUAGCGGUGAAAUGCAUAGAUAUCACGCAGAACUCCGAUUGCGAAGGCAGCAUACCGGCGCCCAACUGACGCUGAAGCACGAAAGCGUGGGUAUCGAACAGGAUUAGAUACCCCAGUAU